AUAUAAGCAAAAUUGACUUUUUAGGUUCAUUCAUUUAAUGAUGUAUGUGGUUCAUAAUAUGGACCACAUGCAUCAUUAAAUGAAUGAACCUAAAAAGUAGAUUUUGCUUAUAU
rfam:Medicago truncatula strain A17 chromosome 2, whole genome shotgun sequence.